GUCCACGCCGUAAACGAUGUCUACUUGGAGGUUGUGGCCUUGAGCCGUGGCUUUCGGAGCUAACGCGUUAAGUAGACCGCCUGGGGAGUACGGUCGCAAGAUUAAAACUCAAAUGAAUUGACGGGGGCCCGCACAAGCGGUGGAGCAUGUGGUUUAAUUCGAUGCAACGCGAAGAACCUUACCAUCCCUUGACAUCCAGAGAAUUUUCUAGAGAUAGAUUAGUGCCUUCGGGAACUCUGAGACAGGUGCUGCAUGGCU
rnacentral:rRNA from 1 species